ACUGCCCGGGGCGGCUGAGCGGCCGGUCACGAGGGCAUGAUGGGGCCUCAUGAGGAAGCCACACAGGCCCCGGUGUGUGGGACCCAGUGACUCAGGAGCUACGCAGUGGGGUUGUGCCCUGGGCCGGCUCCACUGUCCACCUGGGCAGCACCUGCCUUGCUGUGUUGCCUCAGUUUCUCCAUCUGCACAUGGGAAGCAUGGCCUUGGACAGCCUCUGUCCCUGCGUGGCUCCGUCACCUCCGGCCACAGACACAGCAGAAGUCCUCUGGGAAACAUAGUCCUGAAGCCCCCACCCAGCUCUGGUUUCUGUCCUGGCCGGCUCCGUUCCGUGACUGCCCCCCAAGAGAGCCCUUCUGAGGCUGUCCUUGCUGCCAAGCCAAAGGUUCCGUUGCACUCUGAGUCACAAUUUCUCUUUCCAUCCACCUUCAGAGGGAGAUAGUUAACGUGGACCUGAAUACCGCAGAGAUGCUAUCUCCUGUUACUCGGCUACUAACCCAUCUCUCUCUCUGCAACUACGGACUCAGCUUUUAAUGUGUGAAACUUCUAGGGAAGUUCCAGACAGGGGCAAUGAAGGAGCUCAGGAAAUCUCACCCCCAAAUAUGACCCUUGACAUAAAGAACAUUUUGAAUUAAAGGCUCUUGGACAGUAGCAGGCCCCUGGGAGAGGCUUUCCCUCUAUCUGCACAAACCGGACCGACCUGAUCAGAUCAAAGGCGGCAGUUGGCUUCCCUUCCUCUCCCUGUUACCGCAUAGAUUUCAGGAAACAAGAUCGAGAAUGCAAGCAGACCUGGCCCAAGUCAUUUUAAACACAACACCUGCCUUUAGGUUAACAUAAUUUGCAAAGAGAAUCAUUUACAUGUUACCUGUCUCCCCCAUCCAUUUGUUCUCUCU